rnacentral:snRNA from 1 species
AGAUGUGAGGGUGAUCUGGCUGCGACAUCUGUCACCCCAUUGAUCGCCAGGGUUGAUUCGGCUGAUCUGGCUGGCUAGGUGGGUGUCCCCUUCCUCCCUCACCGCUCCAUAUGCGUCCCGACGCUGCGUGCUCGGUCAAAGAGGACGGCCUUCCCCGAAUAGAGACAGACCAGUCUUUUGUCGAGGGUAUAGGAGUAGCUGCGCUCCCCUGCUAGAACCUCCAAACAAGCUCUCAAGAAUGGUUAGGAUCUGAGGGUGAACCCACAUGUGGGGUACAGAGCCAAACCCAUAUCCUUUUUAUUU